rnacentral:sRNA from 1 species
UAGCCCAAAAAAAAGACCCUAAAAAAAAAGUGCCCAACUCUAUGAAAGUAUUAUUAUUUUGUGGAUAUAGGCCAUAAAGCCAUGUCUACAUUAGGCUAGAAAGACCACGCAUGCGUAGAGAUGAAAAUCUCUAGAACCUUAGAUCUAAUUCAAUAAGACAUAAUUGUUUACUUACAUAUUAACAUACAAAAUAGUGUCGAUUCAUUACAUUAUUAAAUGAAAAUUAUCCUUAAAAUUUGAGUUUUCAAAACAUUUUUUACUUAAAUUCGUUCGCUCUAAAUGUGAAUAACUUUAGCCGUGUUGAUACAAAUGUAAUCAAAGCCAGAGGUCAUAAUAUUUCGCGUUAUAAAGGCAUAUUAUUAAACUACUUACACAAUACAAUUUAUCUUAUCUAAAGCAUUUAAGCCUACAACUACCGAUUCGGUUUACUUUUAAGUCUUUUUUUUUUCAAUUUACUUCUUUCUUUCAGAUGGACUUAUGCGCUCUUUAAAACAUAGCUACAUAUAUACAUUAGCCGUGGUCACAAACAUGUUUAUUUAUCAUAUGGCGUACCAGAAAGUCAUGAAUGCUCGUGACCUAACAUCUCGCAAUUCUGCAUCUAUUUGUCGCAAACAUAAUUCUAAAUAAAAUCUAAAGAUUGUCAUUAGGGUCUCUGAAUCUCAAUACCUAAGUUUUAUGGGAGUAAAAACAGUAAUUUAGAGGAAAUCCAACAGCGCGAGACGACAGCGAACUCUCAAAUUGUGUCGAAGAUGCAGACAUUAAAAAUAAGGAAGACCACUCGGGUAAAAACAAAAUAUUGAAUAAAGAAUAUAGAUGUA